rnacentral:rRNA from 1 species
GUUAAGCGACUAAGCGUACACGGUGGAUGCCCUGGCAGUCAGAGGCGAUGAAGGACGUGCUAAUCUGCGAUAAGCGUCGGUAAGGUGAUAUGAACCGUUAUAACCGGCGAUUUCCGAAUGGGGAAACCCAGUGUGAUUCGUCACACUAUCAUUAACUGAAUCCAUAGGUUAAUGAGGCGAACCGGGGGAACUGAAACAUCUAAGUACCCCGAGGAAAAGAAAUCAACCGAGAUUCCCCCAGUAGCGGCGAGCGAACGGGGAGCAGCCCAGAGCCUGAAUCAGUGUGUGUGUUAGUGGAAGCGUCUGGAAAGGCGCGCGAUACAGGGUGACAGCCCCGUACACAAAAAUGCACAUGCUGUGAGCUCGAUGAGUAGGGCGGGACACGUGGUAUCCUGUCUGAAUAUGGGGGGACCAUCCUCCAAGGCUAAAUACUCCUGACUGACCGAUAGUGAACCAGUACCGUGAGGGAAAGGCGAAAAGAACCCCGGCGAGGGGAGUGAAAAAGAACCUGAAACCGUGUACGUACAAGCAGUGGGAGCACGCUUAGGCGUGUGACUGCGUACCUUUUGUAUAAUGGGUCAGCGACUUAUAUUCUGUAGCAAGGUUAACCGAAUAGGGGAGCCGAAGGGAAACCGAGUCUUAACUGGGCGUUAAGUUGCAGGGUAUAGACCCGAAACCCGGUGAUCUAGCCAUGGGCAGGUUGAAGGUUGGGUAACACUAACUGGAGGACCGAACCGACUAAUGUUGAAAAAUUAGCGGAUGACUUGUGGCUGGGGGUGAAAGGCCAAUCAAACCGGGAGAUAGCUGGUUCUCCCCGAAAGCUAUUUAGGUAGCGCCUCGUGAAUUCAUCUCCGGGGGUAGAGCACUGUUUCGGCAAGGGGGUCAUCCCGACUUACCA